rnacentral:lncRNA from 1 species
AAUCGACACAAUUAGUAACUAUGUUUCAGUUACCAUUUUUUUCAGGCAACCCCCUCAGGUCCAGCAGUCCUUUCUGUUGUUUAUCUGACAACAUCACUGCAGGCAUACAGGGAGCCAGACAUGCUCAAUUUGGAGUACCUUUAUUGGAUCUUCACCUUAGCAACAACUUACCGUCCAGACUGUUACCACCAAGUUUCCAGCGUGUUGCAGCCAACUCACAACUUCCUAAUGUCAUCAAUAAGUACCAAAAUGACAAAGUGAUAAGGCCUGAAAAUUCUGGGGUAUUACAACUGAAAUGCAUUCCUUAUCCAUGAUUCAAACAACCAGCCGAGAAACAAAGUGAUGCAGACAACAAAAACAAUUGAAUGAGACUGAAAAGACAAAAAAAAUCUUUCUAAUACCACCUAAUACAAAUAUACAAUCUUUUCUUAUUGCUUUAACUGGUGUAACUUCAAUAUUGAAUUAACUAUAUGUUUCAGUCCCAUUUAUGGAGAAAAUUGUACCACAUCAGUCCUAACGUUCUGGAUACAAAAGGCCAAUAGAUAUAAACAUAAACAUAACAUAUAGCAGGUCAAUUGUUCAACAUAAAAUCCAUUUAAAGUCCAUUCACUUACAUGACCUCCAAAGGUCAAUCCAUUUAGAAAGAGUUCAUAAAGAAUCUGAUACGAAUGCGACAAUUGAAAGACUAAGAAUUAUAAGCUUACUUGGAACCACAUGAUUCAUCCUUUGCCUUUUUUCUUUGUUAACACAGAAACUUUGUUAUCUUUUUUUUUUUUUUUUGGCGGUGCUGAUUAAGAUGAUGACUCC